rnacentral:rRNA from 1 species
AACGAACGCUGGCGGCAUGCCUAACACAUGCAAGUCGAACGAGACCUUCGGGUCUAGUGGCGCACGGGUGCGUAACGCGUGGGAACCUGCACUUAGGUUCGGAAUAACUCCCCGAAAGGGGUGCUAAUACCGGAUAAUGUCUUCGGACCAAAGAUUUAUCGCCUUUGGAUGGGCCCGCGUUGGAUUAGCUAGUUGGUAGGGUAAAAGCCUACCAAGGCGACGAUCCAUAGCUGGUCUGAGAGGAUGAUCAGCCACACUUGGACUGAGACACGGCCCAGACUCCUACGGGAGGCAGCAGUGGGGAAUAUUGGACAAUGGGCGAAAGCCUGAUCCAGCAAUGCCGCGUGAGUGAUGAAGGCCUUAGGGUUGUAAAGCUCUUUUACCCGGGAUGAUAAUGACAGUACCGGGAGAAUAAGCUCCGGCUAACUCCGUG